UGUCAUGCUAAUAUCUUAGCAUCCAUGCUAAUGAUUUCGUUGUGAUGCUAACGAGGCGGCGCAGAACCCGCACUCUUUCUUUUCUUUUCGAGAUGUAUUUGCUGAACCACGAUUGACGGCGCAGCAAAAAUCGGAUGUUCUUAAUGUUGCUGUGAAUACAAAGAAGAAAAGUUUUGUGACAAGUGAACAUUUAGCAGUGAAAUACUCGGCAACAAUCAAAAGUGAGCCCGUCAGUUUGGCUGUCUCCCAGCAAAGAAUUGUUAUUCAUGCACACAAACGGAGACAAAGUCCAGCGAGAAGCAAAAAGAUCAGCAGCA